CACGGGGGUUGCGAGCGUUGUCCGGAAUUACUAGGCGUAAAGGGCGUGUAGGCGGCCGAUUAAGUCUGGAGUGAAAGUCCUGCUUUAAAGGUGGGAAUUGCUUUGGAGACUGGUUGGCUUGAGUGCGGAAGAGGUAAGUGGAAUUCCCAGUGUAGCGGUGAAAUGCGUAGAGAUUGGGAGGAACACCAGUGGCGAAGGCGACUUACUGGGCCGUAACUGACGCUGAGGCGCGAAAGCGUGGGGAGCGAACAGGAUUAGAUACCCUGGUAGUCCACGCUGUAAACGAUGAAUGCUAGGUGUAGCGGGUACCGACCCCUGCUGUGCCGCAGUUAACACAAUAAGCAUUCCGCCUGGGGAGUACGGCCGCAAGGUUGAA
rnacentral:rRNA from 1 species